UCUUUUACUUCAUAAAAAAAAGCUGAACCAAGAAAGAAGAUAUAUUGAUUCUCAGAAGACCCUAUGAUUCAAGUUGCGCGUACCAGACGCCUUGAAUUUUAACAUCCUUUGGAACCUUGGCUCCCAAAUCGGUAUCAGAUGGCUGAAGGCUCUCGAAUACUCCAAUAAGCUCUCCAGUCUCAGGCUUUGUACCAGUCACAGUAAAGGUGAUCUUCCCUGUUGAAGAGGCCGUGUUCUUAGUAUUUUCCUUUGCUAGCUCCUCCUCGUCUCCUCUCCCUCCAGCUGGCAAUGCAACUGCAUUGUCAUAACCGGUGGAACCACCUCGGCCCUUUGGGUCAAGGAAGGAGGAGCCUCUGUAAGAUGGCACGAGAAACUCUCCUGAAAAGCCAUCCGGUUUGCCAGAUGCUACAAGCUGCUUGAUGGUGAAAAGGAACGGCACACGCUCCCCUCCUGGAAGCUGGACUGUAACAGCAGCAUAAUCAAUUCCGUCUUUCUCCUCAAAUUUGAUGGUGCCAUCUGAUGCCACUUCAAAAG
rnacentral:lncRNA from 1 species